GACGAACGCUGGCGGCGUGCUUAACACAUGCAAGUCGAACGGAAAGGCCCUGCUUUUGUGGGGUGCUCGAGUGGCGAACGGGUGAGUAACACGUGAGUAACCUGCCCUUGACUUUGGGAUAACUUCAGGAAACUGGGGCUAAUACCGGAUAGGAGCUCCUGCUGCAUGGUGGGGGUUGGAAAGUUUCGGCGGUUGGGGAUGGACUCGCGGCUUAUCAGCUUGUUGGUGGGGUAGUGGCUUACCAAGGCUUUGACGGGUAGCCGGCCUGAGAGGGUGACCGGCCACAUUGGGACUGAGAUACGGCCCAGACUCCUACGGGAGGCAGAAGUGGGGAAUAUUGCACAAUGGGCGGAAGCCUGAUGCAGCAACGCCGCGUGCGGGAUGACGGCCUUCGGGUUGUAAACCGCUUUCGCCCGUGACGAAGCGGGAGUGACGGUAAUGGGUAAAGAAGCACCGGCUAACUACGUG
rnacentral:rRNA from 1 species